CUACCACUAGUAUCUGAAAACUGAACAAUGUAUAAAAUUGCAAAAGAGCUCUGUUAGGAUAUAGAAUGACAUUCUUUAUGAAGGAAACCAAUAAUCUCACGUUUAAAAUUGAUAUCAUGUCUAUAAGAUAUAAUUCAAAAACAAGCAUCUUUUAUUGAAAUAUUUAGUGACCUAUUAAGGUAUCCUGUUUGUCUACCAUUUGAUUGGCUGCAACAUAAACUGAGAUAUUAUUCAAGGGUUAACUCAAUAUCAACUUUGAUUGCAAAAUAUUUAACUUUCACAAGGUCCCAAGUUUGAGAAUUAUAACGACUGCCUAAAAAUUUCUUAAAUAUUUCCUGAUGGGCAAUCUCAUUUGUAUAACCUGUACGUGUGAAACAUCAUGAUGGCAUUCAUACUGGAUUGAAUAUGAAAAUAAGCACAAAAAAUGUUAUUGGACUCCCACAGAUUACCAGAAUGCAAAAUGUCAUCAAAGGAAAGGACAGUGACUUUCAUAUGAAACUAAUGUCAUCAGAGUAGAAUUUUACUUCUGCAGAAUUCUCUGGACAAGGUAGAGUUUGCCAGGAAACUGAAGAUUUUUCCCAGAGCUCUGGAUAAAACAGUAUUG
rnacentral:lncRNA from 1 species